rnacentral:rRNA from 1 species
GAUGAACGCUGGCGGCGUGCCUAAUACAUGCAAGUCGAACGGUCCGCAAGGAUAGUGGCGAACGGGUGAGUAACGCGUUGGUGACCUGCCCUGAAGAGGGGGAUAACGGAUCGAAAGAUCCGCUAAUACCGCAUAAGCUCUCACUAGUUAGAGAGGUGAGAGGAAAGCCGAAAGGCGCUUUAGGAGGGACCUGCGUCCCAUCAGCUAGUUGGUAAGGUAGUGGCUUACCAAGGCGAUGACGGGUAGGGGACCUGAGAGGGUGGCCCCCCCACAAUGGAACUGAAACACGGUCCAUACACCGUACGGGUGGCAGCAGUAGGGAAUAUUGGUUAAUGGGCGAAAGCCUGACCCAGCAACGCCGCGUGAACGAUGAAGG